rnacentral:rRNA from 1 species
CACGUAGGCGGAUCUUUAAGUCAGAGGUGAAAUCCCAAGGCUCAACCUUGGAACUGCCUUUGAUACUGGGGAUCUCGAGUCCGGAAGAGGUGAGUGGAACUGCGAGUGUAGAGGUGAAAUUCGUAGAUAUUCGCAAGAACACCAGUGGCGAAGGCGGCUCACUGGUCCGGUACUGACGCUGAGGUGCGAAAGCGUGGGAGCAAACA